GGCAAAGAUUAAUUUCAUUAAAAACUUAAGGUUCACAUACAACCGACUUCAAGGAGGAUUUUGCAAGAGCAUCGGCCUCCUGAUUUUCUCCUCUAGGAACGAAAAUGAAAGAGAUUUUGCUGAAAUUUAAAGAUAGAAUCAGGAUAUCAUGGAGAAUCCCGUGAAGCUCCUUUGAAGGCUGCUUCGAGUUGAUAGCUUCGAUUGCUUGUUUGGAAUCGGAAGCGAGUGUGAUGUUUGUGAUGUCUAGAGAAAGGGCGUGUUGUGAGCUAGGUGGAUUGCCACGGUCUCAGCCAUGAGAGGCGAUCUGAUGUGAAAACUGGCGGAGGAUCCUAUCUGGCGGAAGCUUUCCAAUCGAUUGGAGAAGAUCCAGCCGAAGCCCGCCGCCCUCUGAGAUUCGAUCCACGCCGCAUCUGUAUGGCAAGAGGUGAUUGCGUGAACCAGAGUUUCCAUUGGAGUGGCGGCCUUGUCAUUGAAGAUCUUUUGGUUUCUCGCUAUCCAGAUUGCCCAAAUUACCCAAGGCACUAGCGGUCCUGCGCUGAUUCCACUGGGAGGGAGACAAAUCAAGAGUUUGGAGGCUUCAACUCCUUCUCUAAAAGAAGCUACCCUUUCUCCGACAAUAGAUGAUUUGAAAGGUGCAAGUUUCCAAAUCGUGUUGGCGAAAGAGCAAUUAAAGAAGAGAUGAAGGGCAGAUUCAUCUUCUCCGCAGAAAGGACAGCCAUUUGUAACAGUGAUUUUCCUUGCCUUGAGGUUUUCUCCUAGAGGUAACGCUCCUCGCAUAGCCUUCCAUAAGUGAAACUUCAUUUUAGGGGAGCAUUUGAUGUUCCAAAUCUCCUUUGACCAGUUAAAGCCAUUGUUUUCUCCUUGACACUGGUUAUUACCUUGUAAGACUCUCUGUUUCCUUGCUAGGCUCUCUGUCGGAUCAGCACAGCUUGUGUAUUGGACUGUUACCUCUCUUAGUUCACCCAUAAUUUCUUCAGUUGUGGGUACAUGUGCAGGUGAAAGAGCAGAUUCUCCAGCAUUGGAGUCUCUCUUUAGAGGAGGCCUUCUAGUUCUUAAGAUUUCAGAGCUGCCAUGCCAAUCCUCUGUUCUUGGAGUCACGGGUAUGCGCAGGAGAUCUCUUCGAAGAGACACUCCUGUGUCCAAAGGAUCUGGAGACUUCUGAUGUACUGUGACGGAUUUCUCAAUCAUCAUACUUUCUUUUGUUUGAAAACUGAGCUCCUUUUGAUAAAUUGUAGCCUGAGUGGGUGGAGUAGUUCUCCCGCGGUAGGUCUCUGGAGAAUCUCUUAUUGGAGGUUGGAGGGAGUCUAGAGAUAUUUGUGAGCUUGGAGGUUGGUAUGGGAGUAGUCUGGAUGGCUGCAUCUUUCUUUGUUACUAAGUCAGGGCAACUAGUAAUUUCAUGAGAUAGCCUGAGACAGUGAUGGCAAUGUUUCUUAAGGUUUUUGUAUUCCAAACCAAUGGAGAGAUAUCAUGAUCCAACACAGUUCCCAGUUCUUCUCCUAUCUUGUAUAACAUCUCCUGUUUCCAGAAGUGCUUUGGAAGCCCUUGUGGCUCAAUCCAGAAGGGUAUUUGCGAAGGAAAAUUGGCCGAGAUAACCGGCUCCCAUCUCUGCUGUAUGACCAUCCACUGAUCAAAAUGGUAAGGUUCCAUCUGUUUGACAAGUAUGGUAUGAGAGACCAUAGUCGUUGAGCUGCUGGGUUUGUAAGUCUUCCCAUAAGGGUAAGUUCAUUCUCCUUUAUCAGAUCUGAGGUGUCGAGGUCAGGGGCUCGAAUUCUCUUUGGUGGUGGUGAGGAGAAGUCAUUUGGAGAGAUUCUUUCUCUGUCCUGUGAGUGAUAUGGUUUGUUUCUCUCUGCUAGGCUAGAGUGUGGUGAGUUCCUAUUAUAGUACCUUGGAGAUUCGUUGUACUGAUGAGCUAGACCCUUUCCUUUUGCAGAGUAUGGAAUACGGGAGCUCAUGAUGUACCAGCUAACAGUAGGGCCUCUUCUUCAAAAGAUAUCUUUACUCAAGGUUCUUCACACAAGGUGAGAGGGUUUGCAAAAAGGACAAAAUAUGGUAGACUAACUGAUCCAAAGAUCAGUUAAUGAAAGAGCCCAAUGCAAAAAAAAAUGCAUGUUGGGUCUUUGAAAGAGUUCGAAUCAUUUUCCAGAUUUAUAAGGUUCUUCACAUAAAGUGAGAGCAUUCAAUGAAGUUUAAGCCACAAUCUGCCAUAUAUGCAAGUUUAGGUUAUACCUUGUCUGAGGAAGAACACAAGUGAAAAGACUUCAAGGACCAGGGUGAUUUCUCAGCAUUCUUCUCUUGUGUGCAACAGCUUGGAGGGUAGCCUGGGAUGUUUACAAGGUGAGGGGCGUCGCCUACGCCGGUCUCCCCUGUAAAACCCGCCGGAGAUUGAAAUCUAGAGCAAGUUUUGGCCGGAAUUUCUAUUUUGGGUAAAGAAAAGUGGUUGGCUUUUUGCUGUUUUAGGUAGUUUUGAGUGGUUGAGAUCUGUUUUUUAAAAAGCUUUUACCAGGAAUAGCACCUCGAGCUUAGUGCCUGAGAGCGUUUUUGCCUUGGUCAACUUCUCCCACACAUGAAUUUUGAAGAUUCUAGACCAAAUACUAGCCCCCGCCCAACAAACUUUCUAUGACCAAAAUUUGUAAACGGGUCAGAUAUCCAUUAUAUCAAAAUGCAUUUUGCCUCACCGGCUAAAAAUGUACUUCAAAAAUAGUAGUAUUGAUAAGUAACCGCAAUAUUGUUUACUGCAGCUAGCUAGUGAUGAAUAGGAUGAUUUAUGAAGAAAA